rnacentral:rRNA from 1 species
CGGGUGAGUAACGCGUGAGGAACCUGCCUCGAAGAGGGGGACAACAGUUGGAAACGACUGCUAAUACCGCAUAAGCCCACGGCUCGGCAUCGAGCAGAGGGAAAAGGAGCAAUCCGCUUUGAGAUGGCCUCGCGUCCGAUUAGCUAGUUGGUGAGGUAAUGGCCCACCAAGGCGACGAUCGGUAGCCGGACUGAGAGGUUGAACGGCCACAUUGGGACUGGGACACGGCCCAG